CGGGGCGUGGCGCAGCCUGGUAGCGCGCUCGCUUUGGGAGCGAGAAGUCGCCGGUUCGAAUCCGGCCGCCCCGACCU
rnacentral:tRNA from 1 species